rnacentral:rRNA from 1 species
AUUGAACGCUGGCGGCAGGCCUAACACAUGCAAGUCGAACGAGUGGCGGACGGGUGAGUAAUGUCUGGGACACUGCCUGAUGGUGGGGGAUAACUACUGGUAACGGUAGCUAAUAUCGCAUACCAUCAGAUGUGCCCAGAUGGGCUUGGUUGGUUGGUGGGGUAACGGCUCACCAAGGCGACGAUCCCUAGCUGGUCUGAGAGGAUGACCACCGACACGGGAACGGAGACACGGUCCAGACUCCUACGGGAGGCAGCAGUGGGGAAUAUUGCACAAUGGGCGCAAGCCUGAUGCAGCCAGGCCGCGUGUAUGAAGAAGGCCUUCGGGUUGUAAAGUACUUUCAGCGGGGAGGCGUUACCCGCAGAAGAAGCACCGGCUAACUCCGUGCCAGCAGCCGCGGUAAUUC